rnacentral:rRNA from 1 species
AUUGAACGCUGGCGGCAGGCCUAACACAUGCAAGUCGAACGGUGUCUUCGGACAUAGUGGCGCACGGGUGCGUAACACGUAUGCAACCUACCUUACAUUGGGGGAUAGCCUUUCGAAAGGGAGAUUAAUACCGCAUAAGACAGUAGCUGGGCAUCCAGCAGCUGUUAAAGAUUUAUCGAUGUAAGCUGGGCAUGCGUCCAAUUAGCUAGUUGGUGAGGUAACGGCUCACCAAGGCAAUGAUUGGUAGGGGAACUGAGAGGUCAAUCCCCCACACUGGCACUGAGAUACGGGCCAGACUCCUACGGGAGGCAGCAGUAGGGAAUAUUGGGCAAUGGACGCAAGUCUGACCCAGCCAUGCCGCGUGCAGGAUGAAGGCGUUAUGCGUUGUAAACUGCUUUUAUACAGGAAGAAACGACUCUUGCGAGAGGCAUUGACGGUACUGUAUGAAUAAGCACCGGCUAACUCCGUGCCAGCAGCCGCCGUAACAC